CUCAGAUUGAACGCUGGCGGCAGGCCUAACACAUGCAAGUCGAGCGGCAGCACGGGUACUUGUACCUGGUGGCGAGCGGCGGACGGGUGAGUAAUGCCUAGGAAUCUGCCUGGUAGUGGGGGAUAACGCUCGGAAACGGACGCUAAUACCGCAUACGUCCUACGGGAGAAAGCAGGGGACCUUCGGGCCUUGCGCUAUCAGAUGAGCCUAGGUCGGAUUAGCUAGUUGGUGAGGUAAUGGCUCACCAAGGCGACGAUCCGUAACUGGUCUGAGAGGAUGAUCAGUCACACUGGAACUGAGACACGGUCCAGACUCCUACGGGAGGCAGCAGUGGGGAAUAUUGGACAAUGGGCGAAAGCCUGAUCCAGCCAUGCCGCGUGUGUGAAGAAGGUCUUCGGAUUGUAAAGCACUUUAAGUUGGGAGGAAGGGCAGUUACCUAAUACGUAU
rnacentral:rRNA from 2 species